rnacentral:antisense_RNA from 1 species
CUUCACCGAGCCGAGCAGCAGCGGCCGGUCCUCGGGGCGGUCCUGCCCGUACGUCGCCAGCAGCGCCUGCGCCUC